AGACUCAACUGGUAAAGAGUUUGAUUAUUCUUGCUACUUUCUCAGGCCACAAGCACCUGGGGUUCUGCUGCCAGAUUGCGGUGGGCUGGCUGGAGCAUAAGGGAGAAGAUGAAUGCCAUGGAUGGUCUUCAUGACAGCAAAGACCUGGCAGCCUGAAGUGGCACACCUGAAGAUGUACAAGUUCGGUCAGGAUCGGCUUAGACAGCAGGACAAAACCCCCAAACAUCUAGA